rnacentral:rRNA from 1 species
UACAGAGGUCUCAAGCGUUGUUCGGAUUCAUUGGGCGUAAAGGGUGCGUAGGCGGCGCGGUAAGUCGGGUGUGAAAUCUCGGAGCUUAACUCCGAAACUGCAUUCGAUACUGCCGUGCUUGAGGACUGGAGAGGAGACUGGAAUUUACGGUGUAGCGGUGAAAUGCGUAGAUAUCAGGAGGAACACCGGUGGCGAAGGCGGGUCUCUGGGCCGAUACUGACGCUGAGGAGCGAAAGCGUGGGGAGCGAACAGG